AGGGUUUGAUCAUGGCUCAGGACGAACGCUGGCGGCGUGCUUAACACAUGCAAGUCGAACGGAAAGGCCCUGCUUUUGUGGGGUGCUCGAGUGGCGAACGGGUGAGUAACACGUGAGUAACCUGCCCUUGACUUUGGGAUAACUUCAGGAAACUGGGGCUAAUACCGGAUAGGAGCUCCUGCUGCAUGGUGGGGGUUGGAAAGUUUCGGCGGUUGGGGAUGGACUCGCGGCUUAUCAGCUUGUUGGUGGGGUAGUGGCUUACCAAGGCUUUGACGGGUAGCCGGCCUGAGAGGGUGACCGGCCACAUUGGGACUGAGAUACGGCCCAGACUCCUACGGGAGGCAGCAGUGGGGAAUAUUGCACAAUGGGCGGAAGCCUGAUGCAGCAACGCCGCGUGCGGGAUGACGGCCUUCGGGUUGUAAACCGCUUUCGCCUGUGACGAAGCGUGAGUGACGGUAAUGAGUAAAGAAGCACCGGCUAACUACGUGCCAGCAGCCGCGGUAAUACG
rnacentral:rRNA from 1 species